ensembl:lncRNA
AACAACACCUGGAGGACGAGAGACUUAUUUAAAAGUUGCUCAAAUUAAACAACACACAUAGAUGAAAUAACCACUUGAGCAAAAUAGCCAUAGACAUAGUAAGCUACAGAUUCAAAAUAAAUAUAUCUCCAUGAACCAUUACAGAUUUUUUCGAUUGCUAAACGACAGUGGGCACAACUGGAGUCACAUGUGCAAAACUCUAACUACAGUCUGCACAGCAGCAGUUUAUGUGGACCAAACUCUAGAUCGUUUUCAUUGCUUGAACACAGUUUUCAAAACUCUACACACUUAUCACAUGACGUAUCCACAACCUUCACAACACUGUGGAUUUACAGCACUUUGUUCAAAUGCUAACACAAAACGGAAUGUGCCUUUCAAACACUGCUGAUUGCAAUUUCAGCUGAAAGGCUCAGCAGGUGUCUUGUUUUACACUUGUUAAGCUCAGAAAGACUCAUUUUGGAAAUGGAACAAGGAAGACGGGUUGGUGGAGGGAGACAAAGAGCUGUUAUUUCAGAUGAAAUAAGGGCUUCACGUAUAGACCAUGUGGUGAACCACGGUCUCUCAUAGAGAGAGUUGGGGGUGAAACUCAAUCUGCCAACAUCCACAGUGGCAUCUAGAACAUUAGAUGUGAUGGUGAUGAAAACCUGUGGCCUGAUGCUAGAGAGAGGCAGGAUCAGCCCCUCACUUAUUUGUUUCAAUUACAGUCUGUACUUUUAGUUUCUACCUUUUUUUUCUCAUUACUGUAAUUCCGUAAAUUACUACAGACUAUUGAAGCAAACUGCUAAUUUUCAUUUACCUUAACAUUCCGUUUUGAAUGUGUGGUUCACAGUUUUGACAGCAGUGUGUUAGCAUUUGAACAAAGUGCUGUAAAUCCACAGUGUUGUGCAGGUUGUGGAUACGUCAUGUGAUAAGUGUGUAGAGUUUUGAAAACUGUGUUCAAGCAAUGAAAACGAUCUAGAGUUUGGUCCACAUAAACUGCUGCUGUGCAGACUGUAGUUAGAGUUUUGCACACGUGACUCCAGUUGUGCCCACUGUCGUUUAGCAAUCGAAAAAAACUAAUACAGACGUGUAUUCUAUUCACAUAUACAAUUUCUUUCCAUUUCUUUCCAGAUAUGAUAAAUGUGUUGUUGGGAGGUAAUCACAUGAACCAUGACCUUCUGAGAAAUAGAGCCUCUGUCAGGGUCUGAUUCAAACCAACCACAGCUCUUUAUAGCUCUUGUUAUAUGACAGCCAGACAAUGGGAAAGCUGCUCACUUCAAGUCCUGUGCCAGAGUUUGAAAAAUAACAAACUGCUGCUUUCGCAAGGCCCUUCGUAGCUUUGUCAUCACUAAACAUGCAUUUCAUGCCAGUAUGGCGCACGAUCAUAAACACUGCUCGCUGGCUCAUUUAAUUGCAAACACGUGCCAUUUGAAUGGUUUACGUCAUUUUGACCAUCUGCUGUUUGAAAACAGACUUGUGUUGUGUGCAUCCCUAAAGAGGUCACAAACAAAUACAACUAACAUCAAACCACGAAACCACACUCUGGCUGCCGUUUAGCGAGGGAUAAUUACAAAAAAUGCUAAAAGAUCAUUACACAGGUACAGUAACUGAAGUACAAUGUUCAUAAAGUUAAUGAACUGAUUCAGCAAUACCACUUUUAUGUCUUUUUAAAGUCUGCUGCAAAUAAAAAUAAACUUGACUUGAGUUCAUUGAAUUGAUCGAGGGUGUCAGGCGAACAGCUGGUUUUAAUGGCAUUUAAUUUAACUCAUUUGUAGGAGGAAGAAGGUGUCAUUUUGUCUGACAUGUAAAGCUUCCAAUCCGAUGACUCCCUGUGCAAACAGUGAUCACGUAUAACCUCCAGAUUCAUUCACCCUCGCAUUGCUAGAUGAAUAUACGUUAUCAAAACGUCCAUCUGCAAACACUGACAACAACUUGUGCAGUGUAAUCCAAGUCAUAUUCAUCCAGUCGCGAGUAAUUCAUUUGCAAAACAGAAUUUUGGGGUUGACAUAUAUUACAUGUUAUUUACACGUAGCUCUACGACCUCGGUCUAAAUCUGCUCUAUGAAGGGAUUCCCCAAAUAUAAACGAGAUUUGGUAAAUGUGUGUGUUACCGUCAUAUUUCUUUUCUAAUUUUCUUUCAUGUGUUCAUAAUUUUUAACAUAUGCGCAUGUGUUACCAUGUGGCUUUACGCCUCUAUAUGCAUUUUCCAUGUGCGGCGUGUCACGCCUGCAAUUACUGCGAUCGUGAGAGUGACAGUUUGCACAUAUGUGUUUCACCACUUCCCCUAAGAGUGUUCAAGACCUCUAUGCGUGAGUCUCCUUCCCCUCUGUUGCGUGUGUGUGUGAUGUGUUGCGUGCCAGUCUAGCGGUGCGGAGAGACGGCCAUCAUUAGGGGCUCCUAGUGCGAGCAGGGUUACAGGGCCGUUAGGUGGAAGUCACACGCAUGCCCACAGGGCCCCUGCUUUUAAUCUGACACUGUAAACCACAUUCCAGUGGCAACGCACACAACCACACUACGUCUGGACCUGUGUGCGUCUGUGUGUGUGUGUGUGUGUGUGUGUGUCUGUGUGCUUGCUGUGUGACCUCAGUGCUGUUAUUGAGAGUUAUAGUUCAGUUUCUCCCCCCCCCCCCCAGACACAGUGACCUUUUCCUCUUGUCCUGGUCGAACUGCAUUCACGCCGGAGACCGAGGGGAGGUGGAGGGAGACCAGACAGGCCGGGGGGGGGCAAAUAAAGAAAGAAAUACAAAGUGAAAGAGUUUGGGAAGGAGCAGACUGAAAAUACAAAGCAGAGGGAGGAGGGGAGGGACUGAACCACCACAGUGUGUUUAAGUGUGUGUUCUUGUCUGUGUGUCCAUGUGCACAAUCACACAACAGAGCUUUAGUAUGUGUGCGCUGUGUUAGCCAUUGAAUGACGAGCACGUUUAAGACAAUAUGUGAACUUUUUGAGAGAUCGUGUUUGCGCUAGACAGAUCAGAUCCAAACAGCAAGCUCAAACUAACUUAAACAUGUGCAAACUUAAACAUGAUAUCAACUAAUUUUAUUAUCUGCAGUAGAAAAUAAAAGGGACAAAGAACCUGGUACUAAAAGCGAGUCGAGUCGCGCCUUUCAGGUGACGGAUUUAUUGGAUAAAACUAGAAACCACAUCAGGUCAUCGGGAUCAGCAUUUGUUUCUUUUUUCGCUCGUUGUUUCAGACUUUCAGGUCUAAUUUCUGUUGUUCGGUCCUGAAAUGACUUUUUCAGUGAUGUAUCUUUCAAACUGACUGGUUAAAAGGUCACUCACAUGCUCUGACACACAAUGAUGAGAAUGCCUCAACAUCGCAACAGUAUCUCGGCAACAGAGCGAUAUCACAAGGUCAUGAUCAAAACCCUCAUUAUCUCUAACCAACACACGCAUACAAACAUCCAAAGAUCAAUAAACUAUUCUAAAGAAAUGAUGGAGGCUCGGGUUAGGAACUAGAUAAGACCUGAGGGGGAUCAUUAGAGACAGAACUGAAGGACAGUCUUUAAAGGCUAAAAAAGAAAGAAAGAAAGACAUUUAAGAAGAAAGAAAGAAAAAGACACGAAUCAAAGGUCAUCUGAAGGGAUUAUACUGAUUAUACUGAUUGAUUUGCUCUAAAACCACAAACACAGCAGAGUAAAAAUGCCCCCUUUAAAUGAGAUGAGAAAGAACUGAAAGGAAAGAUGGCUGGGGGAAGGAGCUGCUGGGCUGCAGGUCCAUGAAUGACAUAAAAGAGCAUGUCAGCUGUGAAAUUGGCAUCGGGGCACCUUGAACCAGCUGAACCGGCGCUCUGACAGGGAGGCGGUUAAAGAGACAGCGGGCUGGCUGUUAGACGGCUGUCGGACUGCAGCACGAUGGAGCCGAGCCAAAUGAAAGGGUGAGACGGACGAGAAGGUGAUGAAGGAGUGAUACAAACGAAGCGUUGAGGACGAAAGGCAAAACACAUUAUUCAGUGGCACCUUUGCCCCGUCAUUUAAUAAUAUUUCAACUCGGAUCGAAGUUUUCUACAUUAUGGUUUGCUUUAAUGCUUUAACAGUUUUAAUGUGGAUUUAGCGUUCUACAAUCAUAAAGCUGCACGAUGUUCGCAAGAGAAAGGGAUUAAGGUCCUACGUGUGAGGUGAGAAAGGGCCCUGUUCUAGAGCGGACUGAUUGCGCUGUUCUCUGAACCUCCACCAUUAGACCUCCAAAGAAAAGUCUUAAAAAGUUGAAAUUUGACAGGAGGAUGCAAGUGUUUGCAAGUGUGGCAUUGUGGUUGUUUGUGUAUGUGACGGUUUGCAUGCUCACUCACUUCCUUUUGCUGUGACCUCACUCACAAAAACACACACUUGAUUCUAAAUCGAAUCCAACUCUGGUUGAAAAGCAUUGCAACAGAAACAUGCCAGUAGAAUGUCGUAAACUAAAGGGAAAUCAUAUUUGUUUCACACGUACGGUGACAUUUCUAUGGACAAUUGAACCGCACAAUGGAGAAACAUUGCUGACAGACGUGCACAGACAGUGACGUACGCGUACCUCUUCUUGAAAUUCAGCAUUCCUCUCAUUCGCCCGCUGCAGUUGGGCCUCAGCUCGGCUCCGCUGCAGCGCCUCCUGCUGCUGGGAGCGCUGC